rnacentral:rRNA from 1 species
GAUGAACGCUGGCGGCGUGCCUAAUACAUGCAAGUCGAGCGAACAGACGAGGAGCUUGCUCCUCUGACGUUAGCGGCGGACGGGUGAGUAACACGUGGAUAACCUACCUAUAAGGCUGGGAUAACUUCGGGAAACCGGAGCUAAUACCGGAUAAUAUAUUGAACCGCAUGGUUCAAUAGUGAAAGACGGUUUUGCUGUCACUUAUAGAUGGAUCUGCGCCGCAUUAGCUAGUUGGUAAGGUAACGGCUUACCAAGGCAACGAUGCGUAGCCGACCUGAGAGGGUGAUAGGCCACCCUGGAACUGAGACACGGUCCAGACUCCUACGGGAGGCAGCAGUAGGGAAUCUUCCGCAAUGGGCGAAAGCCUGACGGAGCAACGCCGAGUGAGUGAUGAAGGUCUUCGGAUCGUAAAACUCUGUUAUUAGGGAAGAACAAAUGUGUAAGUAACUAUGCACGUCUUGACGGUACCUAAUCAGAAAGCCACGGCUAACUACGUG